rfam:Triticum aestivum genome assembly, contig: Triticum_aestivum_CS42_TGACv1_scaffold_290190_4AL
UAAUUACUUCCGUCCGGAAUUGCUUGACGCUCAAAUGGAUGUAUCUAGAUGUAUUUUAGUGCUAGAUACAUCCUAGAUACAUCCAUUUGAGCGUCAAGUAAUUCUGGACGGAGGGAGUACUAU